CAAAAACCCGGAAAUACUAAAUCAAACACCCUUUACACAAACACACCACCCCGAACCACAUAAAACAAAUACCCUCUGCCACGUCCUGACCAAACUACAAAAACAAUUAACCCUAUACUGGCCAGGACGUGACAGUUACAGCCUUAUUCUAAAAUGGAUUAAAUAAAUAUGUAACCUCUUGAAUCUACACACAAUACCCCAUAAUGACAAAGCGAAAACAGGUUUUUAGAAUUUUUGCUAAUUUAUUCAAAAUAAAAAACAGAAAUACCUUAUUUAAAUAAGUAUUUUGACCCCUUUCUAUGAGACUUUAAAUUGAGCUCAGGUACAUCCUGUUUUCAUUGAUCAUCCUUGAGAUGUUUCUACAACUUGAUUGGAGUCCACCUGUGGUAAAUUCAAUUAAUUGCACAUAAUUUCGAAAGGCACACACCUGCCUAUGUAAGGUGCCACAGUUGACGGUGCAUGUCAGAGCAAAAACCAAGCAACGAGGUCGAAGGAAUUGUCCAUAGAGCUCCGAGACAGGAUUGUGUCGAGGCACAGAGGUGACCAAGAACCCGAUGGUCCCUCUGACAGAGCUCCAAAGUUCCUCUGUGGAGAUGGGAGAACCUUCCAGGAGGACAACCAUCUCUGCAGCACUCCACCAAUCAGGCCUUUAUGGUAGAGUGGCCAGACGGAAGCCACUACUCAGUAAAAGGCACAUGACAGCCUGAAUGUAAUUUGUCAAAAGGCACUUAAAGACUCUCAGACCAUGAGAAACAAGAUUACCUGGGGAGGUUAGGGGGGUUAGUAUAGAAUAAUGGAGGUAUAAUAGGUGGGUUAGUAUAGAAUAAUGGAGGUAUAAUAGGGGGGUUAGUAUAGAAUAAUAGAGGUAUAACAGGGGGAUAGCACAGAAUAAUGGAGGUAUAAUAGAAUGGAGGAGGUUUAAUAGGUGGGUUAGUAUUAGAUAAUGGAGGUAUAAUGGGGGGUUAGUAUAGAAUAAUGGAUGCAUAUCAGAAUGUAGGAGGUAUAAUUGGGGGGUUAGUAUAGAAUAAUGGAGGUAUAUCAGAAUGUAGGAGGUAUAAUUUGGGGGUUAGUAUAGAAUAAUGGAGGUUUAUCAGAAUGUAGGAGGUAUAAUAGGUGGGUUAGUAUAGAAUAAUGGAGGUAUAACGGAGGGUUAGUAUAGAAUAAUGGAGGUAUAAUAGGGGGGUUAGUAUAGAAUAAUGGAGGUAUAAUAGGAGGGUUAGUAUAGAAUAAUGGAGGUAUAAUAGGGGGGUUAGUAUAGAAUAAUGGAGGUAUAAUAAGGGGGUUAGUAUAGAAUAAUGGAGGUAUAAUAAGGGGGUUAGUAUAGAAUAAUGAAGGUAUAAUAGGGGGGUUAGUAUAGAAUAAUGGAGGUAUAACAGAAUGUAGGAGGUAUAAUAGGUGGGUUAGUAUAGAAUAAUGAAGUUAUAAUAGGGGGUUUAGUAUAGAAUAAUGGAGGUAUAAUAGAAUGUGGGAGGUAUAAUAGGUGGGUUAGUAUAGAAUAAUGGAGGUAUAACAGGGGGGAUAGUAAAGAAUGUAGGAGGUAUAAUAGGUGGGUUAGUAUAGAAUAAUGAAGGUAUAAUAGGGGGGUUAGUAUAGACUAAUGGAGGUAUAAUGGAGGGUUAGUAUAGAAUAAUGGAGGUAUAACAGGGGAGUUAGUAUAGAAUACUGGAGGUAUAACAGGGGGUUAGUAUAGAAUAAUGGAGGUAUAACAGGGGUUAGUAUAGAAUAAUGGAGGUGUAACAGGGGUUUAGUAUAGAAUAAUGGAGGUGUAACAGGGGGUUAGUAUAGAAUAAUGGAGGUGUAACAGGGGGUUAGUAUAGAAUAAUGGAGGUGUAACAGGGGGUUAGUAUAGAAUAAUGGAGGUGUAACAGGGGGUUAGUAUAGAAUAAUGGAGGUGUAACAGGGGGUUAGUAUAGACUAAUGGAGGUGUAACGGGGUUAGUAUAGAAUAAUGGAGGUAUAACAGGGGUUUAGUAUAGACUAAUGGAGGUGUAACAGGGGGUUAGUAUAGAAUAAUGGAGGUAUAACAGGGGUUUAGUAUAGAAUAAUGGAGGUAUAACAGGGGGUUUAGUAUAGAAUAAUGGAGGUAUAACAGGGGGUUAGUAUAGAAUAAUGGAGGUAUAACAGGGG
rnacentral:lncRNA from 1 species